rnacentral:rRNA from 1 species
UACGUAGGGACCGAGCGUUGUCCGGAUUCAUUGGGCGUAAAGAGCUCGUAGGCGGCUACUCAAGUCGGACGUGAAAACUCGGAGCUCAACUCCGAGCCUGCGUUCGAUACUGGAUGGCUAGAGUCUGGUAGGGGGAUCUGGAAUUCCUGGUGUAGCGGUGGAAUGCGCAGAUAUCAGGAGGAACACCGGUGGCGAAGGCGGCAUCCUGGACCGGCAUUGACGCUGAGGAGCGAAAGCCAGGGGAGCAAACGGG